CCAUUGAUCUUUGAUGUUACUAUGUUGUAGCUUCUCUAUCAGCACUUGCUGCCUCACCUUGCACUUUUAUGUUCUAGAGACAGCUUCUUUCUUAAACCUCAUGAGCCAACCCCAGCUAAUUUCAGACUUUUCCUCUGCAGCUUCCUCACCUCUCUCAGCUUUCGUAGAAUUGAAGAGAGUUAGGGCCUUGUUCUGGAUUUAGGCUUUGGCUUAAAUGUUGUGGCUGGUUUGAUCUUCCAUCUAUAGCAUUAAGAUUUUCUCCAUAGGAGUAAUAAUGCUGUUUUGCUUUCUUAUCAUUUGUGUAUUCACUGAGUAGCACUUAUUUUUAUUUUUAAGCAUCAGAGGUCAUCACACUGGAUGGAGUAGCACAUUAACUUCCUUUAAAAACUUUUCCUUUGUGUUUAUAAUGUGGCUGUUUGGUGUAAGAGGUCUAGCUUUCAGCCUGUCUCCUAUGUUGGCAUUCGGCAUGGCGUCCUCACUAAGUUUAAUCAAUCAUUUUGGGCUUUGAUUUAAAAUGAGAGAUGUGCAACUCUUCCUUUCACUUAAACAGAGGCCACUGUAGGGUUAUUAAUUCACCUAAUUUCAAUAUUGUUGUGUCUCAGGAGAGGACUGAGGAGAGGGAGAUGGGGAACAGCUGGUCGGUGUAGUAGUCAGAACAUAGACAUUUGCUGAUAAAAUUCACUGUCUUCUAUGGGUACAGUUGGUGGCGCCCCAAAACAAUUACAAUAGUAACAUCAAAGAUAUUUAUCAUAGAUCACCAUAACAGAUAUAAUAAUGAUGAAAAAGUUUGAAAUAUUGCAAGAAUUACCAAAAUGUGACACAGACACAAAUUGAGCACAUGCUGUUGGAAAAAUGGUGCUGAAAAACUUGCUUGAUGCAGAGUUGCCACAAACCUUCAAUCUGCAAAAAAUGCAAUGUCUGCAAAGUGCAAUGGAGUGAAAUGCAGUAAAAUGAGGUAUGCCUGUAUUUGAAAUGAUGAAUUAUGAAAAAUAUUAAAAUAACUUGUAAUAUUAGGAAAGUACAGAGGAAAGUUUAAAACUUUCUGCUUAAUUCAGCAAGACUUAAAAAAAGUGAAAGUUUAUAACUUGUCAUUUGAUCAUACUUUUUUGCUGAUUCCUGGAUUCAUAUGGUUCAAAAUCCAAAAGGUUCCUGAGGGUCCCUUCUCUCACUGCUCCCACCCACCCGUUCCUCUCCCUGGAGCAGCAGUGUGUCCUGUUUCUUGGGUAUCCUUUCAGAAAAAUGUACUUUUACUGCUAACUUUAAUGCUUGUUUCUUUUACAACAGGACCUUAUGGAUUUUCUGAACCCAAACGGUAGUGACUGUACUCUAGUCCUGUUUUACACCCCGUGGUGCCGCUUUUCUGCCAGUUUGGCCCCUCACUUUAACUCUCUGCCCCGGGCAUUUCCAGCUCUUCACUUUUUGGCACUGGAUGCAUCUCAACACAGCAGCCUUUCUACCAGGUUUGGCACCGUAGCUGUUCCUAAUAUUUUAUUAUUUCAAGGAGCUAAACCAAUGGCUAGAUUUAAUCAUACAGAUCGAACACUGGAAACACUGAAAAUCUUCAUUUUUAAUCAGACAGGUAUAGAAGCCAAGAAGAAUGUGGUGGUAACUCAAGCCGACCAAAUAGGUCCUCUUCCCAGCACUUUGAUAAAAAGUGUGGACUGGUUGCUUGUAUUUUCCUUAUUCUUUUUAAUUAGUUUUAUUAUGUAUGCUACCAUUCGAACUGAGAGUAUUCGGUGGUUAAUUCCAGGACAGGAGCAGGAACAUGUGGAGUAGUGAUGGACUGAAAGAAGCUGGAAAGAGGAACUUCAAUCCUUUGUUUCAGAAAUUAGUGCUACAGUUUCAUACAUUUUCUCCAGUGACGUGUUGACUUGAAACUUCAGAUUAAAAGAAUCAUUUGUUGAACAACUGAAUGUAUAAAAAAAUUAUAAACUGGUGUUUUAACUAGUAUUGCAAUAAGCAAAUGCAAAAAUAUUCCAUAGAGUGC
rnacentral:sRNA from 1 species